UACGGGGGGGGCAAGCGUUGUUCGGAAUUACUGGGCGUAAAGGGCGCGUAGGCGGCGCUGUAAGUCACUUGUGAAAUCUCUGGGCUUAACUCGGAACGGUCAAGUGAUACUGCAGUGCUAGAGUGCGGAAGGGGCAAUCGGAAUUCUUGGUGUAGCGGUGAAAUGCGUAGAUAUCAAGAGGAACACCUGAGGUGAAGACGGGUUGCUGGGCCGACACUGACGCUGACAGCGCGAAAGCCAGGGGAGCAAACCGG
rnacentral:rRNA from 1 species